AAGUUUAUUCAAAGUUAAUUUAAUUUAUAAUCUAGUUGAGAAAAAGAAAGGGGUAAAUCUGGGUUUGGGGAAAACUUUUUGAAGAGAAAGGUUUAUCUGAGAGAAAAAUUUGAGAGUUUAGUGGGGUAGAUGUCUAAGUGUUGAUUUUGCAGGAUCUAAUCAUCUCUUCUACCUCCUCGCUUUUUGUACCGCCCUCUCUCCGGCCGCGCAGCACAGAGUCUUCUUUUUUAGCAAAAAACUCAGGCUGGAUAAGAUGCUGGAGAAUAUUUUUUAGUGUGGUUGCAGAUGCAUUUUUUACAAGGGAAAAAACCUGAGAUAAAUCAGGAAGGGUUAGGAUAAGGAUUUAUUAGUGCUUUUGUAAUCACAUGCAUGUUGUAAACACCCACCACCCAAUUUCGUCGGGAUCAACUAAAUAAAAGAUUUUUUUUAUUUUA